rnacentral:tRNA from 1 species
GUGGCUCGUGGCCGGGUCGGGCGUGGCGGUGGCGGCGCUGAUGGUGUGGGCGAACGCCUACGCGUACGAGGCGCUGCACCCCGGGGUCGUCCC